ACAUCCAGCCUCUGCUUACCAAGGAAGGAGAGCCCAACCUCGUCCAAGGGGGUCCACUCCACUCAGUGUCAGAAAGCUCUUCUUCCUGGGGGUCUUUCUGAGCUGCCCUGGCCCUUGCCUCUCCAUAGGCUCAGAACAAGCCAGCCAGCCAGCCAGCCAGCAGCCACUAACCCCCGCAGGAUGGGGGCCAUCAAGAUCAGGCCUUCACCUUCUCCUGGGUGUUGGUGUCUGGGGUGGGGACAGGUCACAUAUUAACAUUGCAAAGUCUUAAGCAGUUAACAAAAACACUUAAACCUGACAAGCUAUGAUGGGGGGACAACAGUUCCCCUCCCCUGGACCCAUCCCGCAGAUUCCUUCCUUUAUGCGUUUGGACUGAAGCUGUUCCACCCCCAGGCAGAGGAGAGGAUGAAGCACUGAGGUGGCUGCUGUUUCCAAGAGACAUCCUGAUGCUGUAGCCUCUAGGUCACACAUAGGCAAACUCAGCCCUCUCGGUGUUUUCAGACAUCACUUGCCAUCUUCACUGACCACUGGUCCCGUUAGCUUGGGAUGAUAGGAGUUGUAGUCCCAAAACAUCUGGAGGGCUGUCCGGCUCCAUGCAAUCGGGAGGGCGAGUUUGCCUAUGCCUGAUCUAGAUCUCAGCACCACCAGCCCAUUGCUCAUGGGGGCACCCCAAAACUGGGUCUGGGGAGGCCAUGAACAAUGCCAACCUUUGACAUCAAUGCCAAGGUUGGAGAGGACCAGUCUCUGAGUAUGUUCAGUGUGCUUUCAUGCUCAGUACCAAGAUGGUCCUCGUAGGACUAUAUUCUACAUCAUUCUUCAAGACUGCUUGGGGAGAAGGAGGGGGAACUGGUGCACUUUUAUAUAUUUCUGAUUUGCCCAAUGCGACCUCUAGCUUGGUAGCUCGGUCCCUUCGGGUGAAAUGGAACUGUUUGGGAAGUAAAGGAGUCAUAAAUUCUGGCAGGAGAUUGACACACUUGAGUCCUCUGGUACGAGUAACACAAGCACACUUGGGGGCUGGACUAGAUGAGCCUUGGGGUCCCUUCCGACUCUACUAUUCUAUAAACUCCCCAGCCCUUGACUCUGCCAACUGCUUCCUUUGGACUCUGUAGGUUUCCACACUCCUUACUGUAUCCAGAUCAGGGAACCUGUUUCACCUGUUGCACUGAGUUUAAGUCAAGAAGAAAACCUUGUUCUGG